rnacentral:rRNA from 1 species
GGAUGAACGCUGGCGGCGUGCUUAACACAUGCAAGUCGAACGAUGAAGCCGAGCUUGCUCGGUGGAUUAGUGGCGAACGGGUGAGUAACACGUGAGUAACCUGCCCUUGACUCUGGGAUAAGCCCGGGAAACUGGGUCUAAUACCGGAUAUGAGCGUCCACCGCAUGGUGGGUGCUGGAAAGAAUUUCGGUCAAGGAUGGACUCGCGGCCUAUCAGCUUGUUGGUGAGGUAAUGGCUCACCAAGGCGACGACGGGUAGCCGGCCUGAGAGGGUGACCGGCCACACUGGGACUGAGACACGGCCCAGACUCCUACGGGAGGCAGCAGUGGGGAAUAUUGCACAAUGGGCGAAAGCCUGAUGCAGCGACGCCGCGUGAGGGAUGACGGCCUUCGGGUUGUAAACCUCUUUCAGUAGGGAAGAAGCGAAAGUGACGGUACCUGCAGAAGAAGCACCGGCUAACUACGUGCCAGCAGCCGCGGUAAUACGUAGGGUGCGAGCGUUAUCCGGAAUUAUUGGGCGUAAAGAGCUCGUAGGCGGUUUGUCGCGUCUGUCGUGAAAGUCCGGGGCUUAACCCCGGAUCUGCGGUGGGUACGGGCAGACUAGAGUGCAGUAGGGGAGACUGGAAUUCCUGGUGUAGCGGUGGAAUGCGCAGAUAUCAGGAGGAACACCGAUGGCGAAGGCAGGUCUCUGGGCUGUAACUGACGCUGAGGAGCGAAAGCAUGGGGAGCGAACAGGAUUAGAUACCCUGGUAGUCCAUGCCGUAAACGUUGGGCACUAGGUGUGGGGAACAUUCCACGUUUUCCGCGCCGCAGCUAACGCAUUAGGUGCCCCGCCUGGGGAGUACGGCCGCAAGGCUAAAACUCAAAGGAAUUGACGGGGGCCCGCACAAGCGGCGGAGCAUGCGGAUUAAUUCGAUGCAACGCGAA